rnacentral:tRNA from 1 species
GCCCCCAUAGCUCAAUGGAUUAGAGCAGUCCCGUCCUAAGGGAAAAAUGAGAGUUCGAUUCUUUCUGGGGGCA